ensembl:lncRNA LINC02667 long intergenic non-protein coding RNA 2667
AGUUGUUGAACAGCAGAAGAUGCUCCAACCUAAAUACUGAGAGUCUUAAAAGCCAGGCGGAAGGCUGGAGGGUGCUGGGGAAGUUCAGGCUGUCCCCAGAAGGUGACUGUGAGGAUAAAACAAAUUAGGAAGGAGGAGGACAGAACCCUCGUUCUGCUCCCUGACAGUCAACUUAUACGACCUUCAUGCUGGACUACACAUGUCAUCUCCCGGAGCAGCAGGCGGUGGCUGGGACGGCAGCACAGAGAAAGCCCGGCACAGGCUCCGCUCAGAGCCUCAGGAUGUGGGGAGGCUUCUACAGAUGACCAGCUUGGUGGCGUCAUCAUCCCCACCUGGAGGUGUUUCUGGGCUGGAACAGAGACACACCCCAAGACAUGCCAAGUUCCUGUCUAAGGAACAAUCUCCAGUUCCUUGGCAGAUUGCUAAUAAAUAUUUCCAGUAGGAAGGAGACCUUAUCUGGAACCAAGAGGCAUGUCUGUAAGAAACUCUUAUGAAGUUGUCGGGGUUCAAGUUGGCCUUCCUGUUGUUCAACCUGGUGGAGAAUGUUCCUGUGGGCCUUGGCAGCAAGUCAGCAUUCUUCGUUGGCAUGGAGUCCUAGGAAAAAGAGGUACGGGGCACCUUGAACACACCGGGCAAGCAAAGAAGAAUGCACGCGUCUCCUCUCUCCAGGAAGGGCUCCUUUCAGAGACACGCUUUGUAGCUCAGCUGUUUGGGGGCCGUGGCAGGCACCUGGGCCCUGGUCACACAGUGGCUGUGGAGCCUGUCCCUGUCCCUUGGGAGCAGCCUGUGCCUCCAGCUCUUCAGCCUUCCGCUGCUCCCACUUGCUGGCUGUGGCUGUGGCUGGGUGGCAUUUGUUUUUGUCCCAGGGCUGCUGCUGCCAGCCAGCAGGUCUCUGAUGUCACCAGCCGCAGGUCUAGGGGUCACCCUAAAAACAUGCGCCUCACUGACCCCCUUACAGCUCCUCUCCUGAGAAGGUUUCUGGGUGCAUUUAUCCAUAUGGGGAGCCUCCCCGGCAGGCCACAGGGGAGCAAGGAGAGAUUCCUUCCUGGUUACCCACCCAACCAUGCUUCAUGCUCCAGACCAAGUAGGUUUUCUGGGUCCUAGUAAAGUCUUCCAAUUCCCCCAAGCUGUGAAAGCCCAGAGGCGGCUGUCAUCUUCUGUGCUGUGGCUGUUUCCAAAGCCAGGGCCGCUGUGGGACGCUCUCCCCUGGUUUGCUUUUCAUCGGAAGCGGCUGCAGCUCUUCUGGGCUUUACCGCCGCCGGGGCCCUCCUAUUUUCUUCACCAUAUUGAAAAGGCAUUUCCUAAAUUCAUAAUGUUUUAGACACAUUGUGGUCUCGGGAUUGAAUUGUGAAGUCUGCAUGGACGGGGGUCUGGCCUGCCCUUCAACUCUGCCCCCAUUUCCUUAAGGAAUUGGUGAAUGCAGAUACUCUACUUUUAUAUUUUGACAGCUGCCUGUGUUUUCUCAUUUGAUUCUCAUAACCCUGGGAAGUAAGUAAGGCCAGAAUUUUUAUUCCCAUUUCUCAGAUAAGGAAAUGGAGGUUAGAGAAACAUGAAUGAGGCACAUUUGCCAUGCAACUUAGCACCUGGAACCUGACCUCAGGAUUCUGAGUUCUAGCACAGCCUUUCUCCACUCUCCAGGCUCUCCACCCUGAAGCCAGUCGCAUAUCACCCCAAUAAACAGUUACAACGCCUCUG